CUGAAAACCAAAGCUGUCAGUAACCAAUAGUAUUUUUUCAGAGCAAAGGGUGCCGGAAACUUCUCCAGAAGCAACUACCCUGUAGAUCCGAAUUUGUCUAUGUUAUCUACAAAUUUAACUCUACAUGGUUUUUGCUAAAUAUUUAUCAUCAGUCUACCCGCCACAGAUAUAAACAACACGAAGAUCAAUGACUCAGCAGAUUUGGCGGCAAAUGCCGCCAAUGACGAAGCAAGAAAAUUCUCCAAGUUAGAUGUCAAAAAUUCCGCAAAUGUAGUGCAAAAUGCACAAAAUGAAAGUGAAAUUGUAUUGAGUGUAUGUGCAAUGUGUAAUUUUGAUCUUUGACCGUUGGAAGGUCAAGUGAUUUAUGGUUCACAGCUUUGACACUGGACAAAAUAUUUGAAAGCCGGUGUACUAGACGGAGCUCUGAGGGUAGAAUGUCUGCGUUAAGCCACUCGAGGAUCUACUUUUCACCCGAUUUGAACUCUGGUGUUAAAUUUCCUAUCACGAGACCAAAAGAGAACUCAGAAGAACAAGUUCAAUAAUCGAGCACAGACAAAACACUACCUGAAAAUCUACCGCAACCCUUCUGAUCUGAAAUCGGUCAACUGUAUGCGAGCGGUUAACUCUCAAUGUUAGCCUUCCUCGCAUUCAUAUUUCAGCAAAUUUUUGUUUAUUGUUUAACUCGGGUUGUUUUUUAAAUGUUUGGAUUAAUUAGAUUCCCAAUAGACUUAAAAUUAUACAACCUUGAUAUGUGUUCAUAUCAACUCAGCUUAUCGAAAUUACAUGCGUCUAGCAGACUGAUCUCGGAAUCCACUAUGUUCACUUCUGAUUUCUUACGGAUUUAUACGAACCUAAUAAGGCUCUCUUAAUAAGGAAAUGCCAAAUUUUUUUUUUUUUGCAUUUACUGAUGUAAACUAUGUAAAACGUCUCUGUUUAAUGAGACACAUAGAAUUUAAUAUCUUGAAUAGUUUAACUGUAACACUAGCUAUAAAUAAAAUAUAGCAAUAUUAUAUUGUAAAUGCCUUU